AGCAGCCGCGGUAAUUCCAGCUCCAAUAGCGUAUAUUAAAGUUGUUGCAGUUAAAAAGCUCGUAGUUGAAUUUCGGGAUCAAUAUAUCGGUCGUGCCUUGGUACGUACUGGUAUCAUUGGUUUCUCCUUUCUGACGAACCAUGAUGUCAUUAAUUUGGUGUUAUGGGAAGUUAGGACUGUUACUUUGAAAAAUUAGAGUGUUUAAAGCAGGCUUUAGCUUGAAUACAUUAGCAUGGAAUAAUGAAAUAGGACGUUCGAACCUAUUUUGUUGGUUUCUAGGAUCAACGUAAUGAUUAAUAGGGAUAGUUGGGGGCAUUAGUAUUCAAUUGUCAGAGGUGAAAUUCUUGGAUUUAUUGAAGACUAACUACUGCGAAAGCAUUUGCCAAGGAUGUUUCAUUAAUCAAGAACGAAAGUUAGGGGAUCGAAGACGAUCAGAUACCGUCGUAGUCUUAACCAUAAACUAUGCCGACUAGGGAUCGGAUGAUGUUAAUUUUUAAUGUACUCAUUCGGCGCCUUACGG
rnacentral:misc_RNA from 1 species